AGAGUUUGAUCCUGGCUCAGGAUAAACGCUGGCGGCGCACAUAAGACAUGCAAGUCGAACGAACUUAACUCAUUCUUUUAGAUUGAGAGCGGUUAGUGGCGGACUGGUGAGUAACGCGUAAGGAACCUGCCUUUUAGAGGGGAAUAACAAUGAGAAAUCAUUGCUAAUACCGCAUAUGCCAUAGUUAUCACAUGAUAAUAGUGGGAAAGGAGCAAUUCGCUAAAAGAUGGCCUUGCGUCUGAUUAGAUAGUUGGUAAGGUAACGGCUUACCAAGUCGACGAUCAGUAGCCGGACUGAGAGGUUGAACGGCCACAUUGGGACUGAGAUACGGCCCAGACUCCUACGGGAGGCAGCAGUCGGGAAUAUUGCGCAAUGGAGGAAACUCUGACGCAGUGACGCCGCGUAUAGGAAGAAGGUUUUCGGAUUGUAAACUAUUGUCGUUAGGGAAGAGAAAGGACAGUACCUAAGGAGGAAGCUCCGGCUAACUACGUGCCAGCAGCCGCGGUAAUACGUAGGGAGCGAGCGUUAUCCGGAAUUAUUGGGUGUAAAGGGUGCGUAGACGGGAAAGCAAGUUAGUUGUGAAAUCCCUCGGCUUAACUGAGGAACUGCAACUAAAACUACUUUUCUUGAGUGCAGGAGAGGUAAGUGGAAUUCCUAGUGUAGCGGUGAAAUGCGUAGAUAUUAGGAGGAACACCAGUGGCGAAGGCGACUUACUGGACUGUAACUGACGUUGAGGCACGAAAGUGUGGGGAGCAAACAGGAUUAGAUACCCUGGUAGUCCACACCGUAAACGAUGGAUACUAGGUGUAGGAGAUAUUAAGUCUUCUGUGCCGUCGCAAACGCAAUAAGUAUCCCACCUGGGGAGUACGGCCGCAAGGUUGAAACUCAAAGGAAUUGACGGGGGCCCGCACAAGCAGUGGAGUAUGUGGUUUAAUUCGAAGCAACGCGAAGAACCUUACCAGGGCUUGACAUAUAUAGGAAUAUACUAGAGAUAGUAUAGCUCUUCGGAGUCUAUAUACAGGUGGUGCAUGGUUGUCGUCAGCUCGUGUCGUGAGAUGUUGGGUUAAGUCCCGCAACGAGCGCAACCCU
rnacentral:rRNA from 1 species